rnacentral:rRNA from 1 species
AGUGAACGCUGGCGGUAGGCCUAACACAUGCAAGUCGAACGGCAGCACAGUAAGAGCUUGCUCUUACGGGUGGCGAGUGGCGGACGGGUGAGGAAUACAUCGGAAUCUACUUUUUCGUGGGGGAUAACGUAGGGAAACUUACGCUAAUACCGCAUACGACCUACGGGUGAAAGCAGGGGAUCUUCGGACCUUGCGCGAUUGAAUGAGCCGAUGUCGGAUUAGCUAGUUGGCGGGGUAAAGGCCCACCAAGGCGACGAUCCGUAGCUGGUCUGAGAGGAUGAUCAGCCACACUGGAACGUAGACACGGUCCAGGCUCCUACGGGAGGCAGCAGUGGGGAAUAUUGGACAAUGGGCGCAAGCCUGAUCCAGCCAUACCGCGUGGGUGAAGAAGGCCUUCGGGUUGUAAAGCCCUUUUGUUGGGAAAGAAAAGCAGCAGGUUAAUACCCCGCUGUUCUGACGGUACCCAAAGAAUAAGCACCGGCUAACUUCGUG